AUAGCGAGCACAAUUUUUUUGUUUAAAAGUAGUUAAGUAUUAACAUGGUAGGAAACAAGCUUAGGUAACAUUAUACUGGAUAUCGCUGUUCAGUCGUUUGAAUGCAUAUCUACUUAGUGAAUGAAUAGAGUUAAGCGCAAUGCUAUGCUGGGGCGCACAAUGUGUAAACAUGCUAGGUCUAUACAAUAUUCAUUAAGAGUAAUUUAAGUAAAAUACAAUAAAGGAGUAUGCUACAUACAAGACAGAGCCUUUGUGUAAGAUGUCAUAUGAGCUUCACUG